rnacentral:rRNA from 1 species
CACGGCGCACGGGUGCGUAACACGUGGGCAAUCUGCCCUCCGAUGGGGAAUAACCCCGCGAAAGCGGGGCUAAUACCGCAUAACAUUCCUUUGGCUACGGUCGAGGGAUUCAAAGCAGCAAUGCGUCGGAGGAGGAGCCCGCGCCCGAUUAGUUAGUUGGUGAGGUAACGGCUCACCAAGACAAUGAUCGGUAGCUGGUCUGAGAGGAUGGCCAGCCACACUGGAACUGAGACACGGUCCAGACUCCUACGGGAGGCAGCAGUGGGGAAUCUUGCGCAAUGGGCGAAAGCCUGACGCAGCGACGCCGCGUGGGGGAUGAAGCUUUUCGGAGUGUAAACCCCUUUCGACUGGGACGAAUGCCCGCAAGGGAGUGACGGUACCAGUAGAAGAAGCCCCGGCUAACUACGUGCCAGCAGCCGCGGUAAGACGUAGGGGGCCAGCGUUGUUCGGAAUUACUGGGUGUAAAGGGUUCGUAGGCGGUGUGGCAAGUUGGGAGUGAAAUCUCUGGGCUUAACUCAGAGGCUGCUUCCAA